AGGUUAUCCGAGUGGUUUCUGCUAAAGAAACCUUUUGUCAGUCCUAGAAACACUAACGAAUAAGGGGUGGGCAAGUUCUGGUGUCAGCCGCCGCGGUAAAACCAGCACCUCAAGUGGUCAGGAUGAUUAUUGGGCCUAAAGCAUCCGUAGCCCGUUUUGUAAGUUUUCGGUUAAAUCCAUGCGCUUAACGUAUGGGCUGCCGGGAAUACUGCAUAACUAGGAAGUGGGAGAGGUAGACGGUACUCGGUAGGAAGGGGUAAAAUCCUUUGAUCUAUUGAUGACCACCUGUGGCGAAGGCGGUCUACCAGAACACGUUCGACGGUGAGGGAUGAAAGCUGGGGGAGCAAACCGGAUUAGAUACCCGGGUAGUCCCAGCUGUAAACUAUGCAAACUCAGUGAUGCAUUGGCUUGUGGCCAAUGCAGUGCUGCAGGGAAGCCGUUAAGUUUGCCGCCUGGGAAGUACGUACGCAAGUAUGAAACUUAAAGGAAUUGGCGGGGGAGCACCACAAGGGGUGAAGUCUGCGGUUCAAUUGGAGUCAACGCCAGAAAUCUUACCCGGAGAGACAGCAGAAUGAAGGUCAAGCUGAAGACUUUACCAGACAAGCUGAGAGGUGGUGCAUGGCCGUCGCCAGCUCGUGCCGUGAGAUGUCCUGUUAAGUCAGGUAACGAGCGAGAUCCCUGCCUCUAGUUGCCACCAUUACUCUCAGGAGUAGUGGGGCGAAUUAGCGGGACCGCCGCAGUUAAUGCGGAGGAAGGAGGGGGCCACGGCAGGUCAGUAUGCCCCGAAACUCUGGGGCCACACGCGGGCUGCAAUG
rnacentral:rRNA from 1 species